ACGCCGCGUGAGUGAUGAAGGCUUUCGGGUCGUAAAACUCUGUUGUUAGGGAAGAACAAGUGCUAGUUGAAUAAGCUGGCACCUUGACGGUACCUAACCAGAAAGCCACGGCUAACUACGUGCCAGCAGCCGCGGUAAUACGUAGGUGGCAAGCGUUAUCCGGAAUUAUUGGGCGUAAAGCGCGCGCAGGUGGUUUCUUAAGUCUGAUGUGAAAGCCCACGGCUCAACCGUGGAGGGUCAUUGGAAACUGGGAGACUUGAGUGCAGAAGAGGAAAGUGGAAUUCCAUGUGUAGCGGUGAAAUGCGUAGAGAUAUGGAGGAACACCAGUGGCGAAGGCGACUUUCUGGUCUGUAACUGACACUGAGGCGCGAAAGCGUGGGGAGCAAACAGGAUUAGAUACCCUGGUAGUCCACGCCGUAAACGAUGAGUGCUAAGUGUUAGAGGGUUUCCGCCCUUUAGUGCUGAAGUUAACGCAUUAAGCACUCCGC
rnacentral:rRNA from 1 species